rnacentral:rRNA from 1 species
CGCGUAGGCGGGUGUUUAAGUCAGAGGUCAAAUCCCAGGGCUCAACCCUGGAACUGCCUUUGAUACUGGACACCUAGAGUAUGGGAGAGGUGAGUGGAACUCCGAGUGUAGAGGUGAAAUUCGUAGAUAUUCGGAAGAACACCAGUGGCGAAGGCGACUCACUGGCCCAUUACUGACGCUGAGGCGCGAAAGCGUGGGGAGCAAACAGGAUUAGAUACCCUGGUAGUCCACGCCGUAAACGAUGAGUGCUAGUUGUCGGCAUGCAUGCAUGUCGGUGACGCAGCUAACGCAUUAAGCACUCCGCCUGGGGAGUACGGUCGCAAGAUUAAA